CGCAGCCUGGUCACUGGAGUUAGUGUGUUGUGUAAAGAAUGCAGACAGCUCAUUCUUCGUGAGAUCAUCCACAUUUUGGAACCCAGCUGUGAACUUCUUGGCCUGGAGGAGCUGACAUGGCUGAAGAGAUAAAGCAACUUUCUCACAGGCUGAAGGAAGAAAUACGUGUGGGGGUGGGAUUGGAAUACACCCUCCCUACUUCAUUUAUAGAUUAAAGCGAUUUCUUCUCAUGGGAAAAAGCUAGAGGAAUCUCUCCAAUGGGUAAUCACACACAGCUCGUGGCAAGUCUGACUUCCCUUCUAAAAAUCUCAGGUGACAAACUACAUCCUAAUUAAACUUUUUUAAAUAGCUAUUUCAAUUGCAGCCUAUUCAGGGUCAGUGGGAAAAUCUUAAUAGUUUAUGUAUAAGAAAACAGCCAGUCCAACUUAUGCUUCUUUGUGUGCAGAGAACAUGAAAGAAAGACAGAGCAGGCAAAAACAACCUCUUUCAAGUAGCUGCUGGAAAAUCCUUCUAGUACAGGGAAGGUUGUAAGAAUGCAGAACGAUAAAAAAAAUUAGAAACAUUCCCUUUUAAUUUGUAUUGCAUUGAUAGCAACUUGCCUAUGAGCCUGGAUGGUAGCAAAACUAAUGGACCUCACCUGCAAAAACAAGCACUCAAAUCUAGAAUUUUACUCCUUUCUGCCAAAGGUUUUUUGUUUGGUUGAUUUUUUUUAAAAUCAUUUUCUUUAAAGCAAAUUUAAACAGAAGUAAUUAAAAAGGAAAACCACACAAAAGAGCAGAAGCUGUGGAGCUGAAGAUAUGGCUUUCUUCAGACAAAUUAACUUCAAAGUACGACAAACAAAAUAAGACAAACUCUAUGGGCAUUAAAAAAAAAAAAAUGGGUAUCAAUUCCAGAACCAGAUUCACGGCAAUAAUUCCUGUUCAAUUAUACGUAGCAACAGUUUUUCAUGAGAAAUAGAAAGUUAACUUUCCCUGCAUAAUGAUUCAUGAGUAAAUUUGGGCUCGUUGGCAGGCUUGCAUUGAAGAAAGUGACUUGCACCAAAUGAGAAAAGGAUAUUUUAAGAAUGUUUGCAAGUUGUCUGUUGUACCAGAACCCAGAGCAGUUUCUGCUAGGAUGUUAUUUUUAAACUCUGUUGCAUUUGUAACAUACAGGCUAUAUGACUCAUCAAAACUUAAAAGAAAAUAAAAUCUUGUUUCUGAGUUCACUUUAAAGAUAUUGGUCUAACUUGGCAAGCAGAAGUUAUCUGAAAG
rnacentral:lncRNA from 1 species